rnacentral:rRNA from 1 species
GACGAACGCUGGCGGCGUGCUUAACACAUGCAAGUCGAACGAAGUGGCGAACGGGUGAGUAACGCGUAAUCAACCUGCCCUUCAGAGGGGGACAACAGUUGGAAACGACUGCUAAUACCGCAUACUGAAGGAGGGGAUUGCGUCUGAUUAGCUAGUUGGAGGGGUAACGGCCCACCAAGGCGAUGAUCAGUAGGCGGUCUGAGAGGAUGAACGGCCACAUUGGGACUGAGACACGGCCCAGACUCCUACGGGAGGCAGCAGUAGGGAAUCUUCGGCAAUGGGGGGAACCCUGACCGAGCAACGCCGCGUGAGUGAAGAAGGUUUUCGGAUCGUAAAGCUCUGUUAAUCGGGACGCGGUACCGGAAUAGAAAGCCACGGCUAACUACGUGCCAGCAGCCGCGGUAAUAC